rnacentral:rRNA from 1 species
AUUGAACGCUGGCGGCAGGCCUAACACAUGCAAGUCGAACGGAUGGCGGAAGGGUGGGUAAUGGAUGGGAAACUGCGCGAGGGAGGGGGAUAACUACUGGACACGGUCGCCAAUAACGCAUACCAUCCGAUGUGCCCACAGUGGAUUGGCUAGUCGGUGGGGUAACGGCUAACCGAGGCGACGAUCCCUAGCUUGGCUGAGAGGAUGACCGGCCACACUGGAACUGAGACACGGUCCAGACGCCUACGGGAGGCAGCAGUGGGGAAUAUUGCACAAUGGGCGAAAGCCUGAUGGAGCCAGGCCGCGUGUGUGAAGAAGGCCUUCGGGUUGUAAAGUACUGUCAGCGAGGAGGCGUUACUCGCAGAAGAAGCACCGGCUAACUCCGUGCCAGCAGCCGCGGUAAUUC